GCUUUAAUUGUUCUAAAGUGCCUGCUUGCUCUCAAAAAGGAGAAGAAAGAAGAUUGGAGGCGAAGCGAGAAGUCCUAUCUAUGGUAUGUCCUAUCCUUCAAAAAUUUGCUGAUAUUUUUUUCAAAGAUUUGCUUGCAGGGCUACCUCCAGAAAGAGAUAAAGAGGCCACUAACAAGCAUCGAAAGAAGUUAACCUUUGAGGUCGAUGAUUUUGUGUGGGCUAUUUUGACCAA
rnacentral:lncRNA from 1 species